rnacentral:rRNA from 1 species
UACGUAGGGUGCAAGCGUUGUCCGGAAUUAUUGGGUGUAAAGAGCUCGUAGGCGGUCUGUCGCGUCGGCUGUGAAAACUCGGGGCUCAACUCCGAGCCUGCAGUCGAUACGGGCAGACUAGAGUGCUGUAGGGGAGACUGGAAUUCCUGGUGUAGCGGUGAAAUGCGCAGGAUAUCAGGAGGAACACCGGUGGCGAAGGCGGGUCUCUGGGCAGUAACUGACGCUGGAGGAGCGAAAGCGUGGGGAGCGAACGG